rnacentral:rRNA from 1 species
GACGAACGCUGGCGGCGUGCCUAAUACAUGCAAGUCGAGCGAUGAAGGUUGGUCCUUGUACCUACUGGAUGAGCAGCGGACGGGUGAGUAACGCGUGGGGAAUCUGCCUUUGAGCGGGGGACAACAUUUGGAAACGAAUGCUAAUACCGCAUAAUAACUUUAAACACAAGUUUUAAGUUUGAAAGAUGCAAUUGCAUAACUUAAAGAUGAUCCCGCGUUGUAUUAGCUAGUUGGUCAGGUAAAGGCCCACCAAGGCGAGGAUACAUAGCCGACCUGAGAGGGGGAGCUGGCAAGAUGGGACGUGAGCACGGCCCAAAAUCCUGCGGGAGGGAGCAGGAGGGAAUUUUUGGGGAAGGACGAAAGGCGGAACGAGGAACGGCGCGGGGGGGAAGGAGGGUGUCGGGUCGGAAAAAUCUGGUGGUAGAGAAGAACGUUAGGGAGAGUUAAAAGCGCAUAUAGUGACGGUAACUACCCAGAAAGCGACGGCUAACUACGUG